UACGUAGGGGGCAAGCGUUGUCCGGAAUUAUUGGGCGUAAAGAGCGCGUAGGCGGUCCGGUAAGUCGGUUGUGAAAGUCGGGGGCUCAACCCUCGGAUGCCGAUCGAUACUGUCGGGCUAGAGUCCGGAAGGGGCGAGUGGAAUUCCUGGUGUAGCGGUGAAAUGCGCAGAUAUCAGGAGGAACACCGAUGGCGAAGGCAGCUCGCUGGGACGGUACUGACGCUGAGACGCGAAAGCGUGGGGAGCAAACAGG
rnacentral:rRNA from 1 species